CCGACCAAAAAGAAAGAAUAGGAGUAGGUCACUCCACAUCGUGGGCCGCUGCUUCGACUCCCCCACCACCAUUCCCCCCAUGAGCCGUGACGAGAUGAGCCGCCGCCGCCCACGCUCGCCGCCGCCGGUGCCGCCGCUGGACGACGACAACCUUCUCUCCGAGAUCCUCCUCCGCCUCCCGCCGGAUCCGUCCUCCCUCCCUCGCGCCUCCCUCGUCUCCAAGCGCUGGCUCGGCCUCAUCUCCGACCCCGGCUUCUCCGCCCGCUUCCGCCUCCACCACCGCGGCAACCCUCCUCUCCUCGGUUUCUUCGACCCCUUCUACUUCCUACCUACAAUGGAUCCCCCCAAUCGUGUCCCGAAUGGCCGCUUCUCCUUGUGCCCAGACGGCGAAGAUUGGGGCGGCAUCUUCAUGCCCAUGGGAUCCCGCCAUGGCCUCCUACUCAUCUUCCACCUUUCGCGGAAGCUGCUCCUGGUGUCGGACCCCUUCAACGUCGACCAGCACCGCCUUGCCGUUCCCCCGGGGUUCGAUUUGGAGAAGGCCCCGGUCAGCGGGGCGGUGUUUCGUGCCGCCGGAGACAUCCGACACUUCCAGGUGGUGUUGGUAACCACAGAGACAGACGAGCAACAGCAUACACGGGUCAUCGCCCGUGUUUACUCGUCGGAGACUGGAGGAUGGGGCGAUUGCAUCUCAACACCACUUCCAUCCAAACUUCCCACCAAGAGUCGUGUGGACUUUACUAUCGGUGUGCUAGUUGGGCAUUGCCUUUAUUGGUUGCUCAAUGACAGGUCGGCAACCUCUGACAUUUUGGAUGGCAUCCUUGAGUUUGAUUUGGAGAGGCAGAUCCUAGCUGUGAAGCCGGUGCCAGUGGAUAUUCCCAAGAAAAACAUGUGCCAAUUCCAGGUUAUGCGGGCAGAGGGUGGCGGCCUUGGCAUUCUCUUUCUGUCAAAUUUCAGUGCCCAGUUAUGGAAGAUGGAGACUGAUUCUGAUGGCGUUGCUUCAUGGGUUCUGGGAAGAACCGUUGAACUGGACAAGCUACUUUCCCUGAAUACAGAAGAGGGAGAGUCCCUAGUUAUACAAGGGUUUGCUGAAUACAAUAAUGUGGUGUUCCUACGGACACACACCAACCUCUUCACGAUCCAGCUCGAGUCACUGCAGUUCAAGAAAAUUUUCAGACCCAACAUCAUGACUCGCUAUCAUCCGUUCGAAAGUGUCUAUGCUGCAGGCACGGGCAUUGGUGGUGGACAUGAUGGAGCUGAACUUUUGCGCAAUACAUAAGAUGAUUGGUCAGAUGGAUAUGCUAUUGUGAUGUAUUAACGACUUCUGAUGUAGCCAAAGAACCCAGAAUAUGUCAAGAGUAGAACCUGAAGGCUUUCCGAUAAAAAGUAGACCAUAUUCAAACUAAACUUUGGAGCCUUCAGUCCAGUUUCCACGAAGGUAUUAUCAAGUGGUGCACUGCAGACAUGGCUUGAUGUUUGUGGGUUCUUCCGUUCUAUGUGGUUGAGAUGCAGAAAUGGUUUGUUGGGGCGUCCUUUUGGCGUGCUCCAGUUGGAAAUUGACCCUAUUCAUACUGCAUAGCGCACACCGGUUAACUGUGCAGUGGGCUUGUAGGAAUUUAACUGCGUAAUUUGCUAACCCGCAUAUGUUAUGUUAUGUUGAACUUUUAUCUGGUGCUGAUUAAUGAAUAUUGAACUGCAACUGCCUUCCU